AACGAACGCUGGCGGCAUGCCUAACACAUGCAAGUCGAACGAGACCUUCGGGUCCAGUGGCGCACGGGUGCGUAACGCGUGGGAAUCUGCCUUCUGGUUCGGAACAACAGUUGGAAACGACUGCUAAUACCGGAUAAUGACUUCGGUCCAAAGAUUUAUCGCCUGAGGAUGAGCCCGCGUCGGAUUAGCUUGUUGGUGAGGUAAAAGCUCACCAAGGCGACGAUCCGUAGCUGGUCUGAGAGGAUGAUCAGCCACACUGGGACUGAGACACGGCCCAGACUCCUACGGGAGGCAGCAGUGGGGAAUAUUGGACAAUGGGCGAAAGCCUGAUCCAGCAAUGCCGCGUGAGUGAUGAAGGCCUUAGGGUUGUAAAGCUCUUUUACCCGGGAUGAUAAUGACAGUACCGGGAGAAUAAGCCCCGGCUAACUCCGUGCCAGCCGCCGCAGUAAGAC
rnacentral:rRNA from 1 species